UACAGAGGUCUCAAGCGUUGUUCGGAUUCAUUGGGCGUAAAGGGUGCGCAGGCGGCGUGGAAAGUUGAGUGUGAAAUCCUAGGGCUUAACCUUAGAACUGCACUCAAUACUCCCAUGCUGGAGGAAUGUAGAGGAGAGUGGAAUUCACGGUGUAGCAGUGAAAUGCGUAGAUAUCGUGAGGAAGACCAGUUGCGAAGGCGACUCUCUGGGCAUUUCCUGACGCUCAUGCACGAAGGCCAGGGGAGCAAACGGG
rnacentral:rRNA from 1 species